rnacentral:rRNA from 1 species
CCUACGGGAGGCAGCAGUGAGGAAUAUUGGUCAAUGGACGAGAGUCUGAACCAGCCAAGUAGCGUGAAGGAUGACUGCCCUAUGGGUUGUAAACUUCUUUUAUAUGGGAAUAAAAUGUUCCACGUGUGGGAUUUUGUAUGUACCAUAUGAAUAAGGAUCGGCUAACUCCGUGCCAGCAGCCGCGGUAAUACGGAGAAUCCGAGCGUUAUCCGGAUUUAUUGGGUUUAAAGGGAGCGUAGGUGGAUUGUUAAGUCAGUUGUGAAAGUUUGCGGCUCAACCGUAGAAUUGCAGUUGAAACUGGCAGUCUUGAGUACAGUAGAGGUGGGCGGAAUUCGUGGUGUAGCGGUGAAAUGCUUAGAUAUCACGAAGAACUCCGAUUGCGAAGGCAGUUCACUGGACUGCAACUGACACUGAGGCUCGAAAGUGUGGGUAUCAAACAGGAUUAGAUACCCGAGUAGUC